AAUGCAGGGGAGCCUGUGGCACAGGCUGAGAGGAAGGUUGCACCUUCGACCCUUACACCUGAUUCGGGUAAUGCCGACGUAGGGAGUCAAGAGAU
rnacentral:ncRNA from 1 species